rnacentral:rRNA from 1 species
UACAGAGGGUGCGAGCGUUGUCCGGAAUCACUGGGCGUAAAGGGCGCGUAGGCGGUCUCUUAAGCGUGUGGUGAAAGCCCGGGGCUCAACUCCGGGUCGGCCGUGCGAACUGGGGGACUGGAGCUUGUCAGAGGCAGGCGGAAUUCCGGGUGUAGCGGUGAAAUGCGUAGAUAUUGGGAGGAACACCGGUGGCGAAGGCAGCUCUCUGGGACGGUACUGACGCUGAGACGCGAAAGCGUGGGGAGCGAACAGG